UAGCCUUUAGCGACACAAGUAUUAAAGGUCCUGCCUGCCCAGUGAAACUUCUUUCUUUUCAACGGCCGCGGUAUUCUAACCGUGCAAAGGUAGCGUAAUCACUUGUCUUCUAAAUAAAGACCAGUAUGAACGGCUAAAUGAGGAUAGACCUGUCUCCUACAACCAAUCAGUGAAACUGAUCUCCCAGUCCAAAAGCUGGGAUGUUAACAUUAGACGAGAAGACCCUGUGGAGCUUAAAACCAACCCAGUAACCAAUAACUGACAUAAGUUUUAAGUUGGGGCGACUUCGGAACAAAACAAAACUUCCGAGCACAGAACCACCGAUUCUAACCAAGGCAAACAAGCCAAAGAAAUCAAACUGACCCAGUCAAACUGACCAACGAACCAAGUUACCCCAGGGAUAACAGCGCCAUCCUCUUCAAGAGUCCAUAUCGACAAGAGGGUUUACGACCUCGAUGUUGGAUCAGGGCACCCAAAUGGUGCAGCCGCUAUUAAAGGUUCGUUUGUUCAACGAUUAACAGCC
rnacentral:rRNA from 1 species